GGCACUAUAGAAUCCCAACAAUGUCCACCUUGGUGCCCUUAAAGCCUUGGUGAUCAUCGCUCUUCACCAAGUCUAAUCCUCUGCACAAUCUUACCAAUAAGAAGUGAAACCAACUAUGCAGACCUCCUCGCCAUCGUAGUAUACCUCUGCCUUGGAGCUGUCCAAAAGAUUGCCACCACCUCCCUUAUAGCUGAAAACCUCAUCCUGC
rnacentral:lncRNA from 1 species